GUUCAUCCCAAUUAUUAAUGCAACUUUAAUUGUGGAAUAUUACAUAUUACUUGAAUAAAACUGAUUCUAAUUCCAAAUCUAUUUAAGUCAAUGAGUAAAUUCAUGUAACUACACUAACUCAUAGCUCAAUUAAAUGUAUUUGGUUUAGAAAUAUUUUUUUCAUCCUUCUAAACCUCAUUAAAAGCUCGAAAUAUUGUAACAGUAAGUGCUAAUAAUUCAAAAUACUGCCAAAUACUUUUCACCCCCUCCCUUAGUGAAGCUCAUGGAUCUGAUGUGCACGAGUAUCUCAAUACUUAUAUUCCGAGUCGUCCUCCAAGUUUAUGGCACAUUGUCACUGUACUGCAAUCUUUGUCCAACCAUCUCAUUGCGCCCCACUCUUCACUAACAGAUUUACAGGACAAGUUAUCCUCGAUCCAACAUUUAACAACCGCAGAGAUAGCUAUCUUAUUAGGAUCAAAAGAGUCGAUUGGGAAAUUCAUGGACAAACGUCUUUUGGCCAGUCGAAAAAUCAAAGCGUCUACACAAAACAAAGUACGAAAUUACUUUAGCUGGGAUUGCCAUUGAGGGAGCUUCUCUUCUCAUUUGGAGGCAUUUAGAAAUUUUUUGUUAUACGCCAUUAAAAAUCAAGAUACUCCCUAUCAGAAGGCUGUAAAAAGAAUUAAAUGAUGAACCAUUCAUGGUAGGAGACUCUUCUUGAGUUGUUUCGCCUGCGUAUGUAUUCUCUGAGGGAAUUGCCGAAUUGAAGGUGGCCGUGUCUGUAUUUAGUGGUUCAUUGCUUAUGAAACUAAAACAUGUGGAAC
rnacentral:lncRNA from 1 species